rnacentral:rRNA from 1 species
CCUACGGGUGGCAGCAGUGGGGAAUAUUGGACAAUGGGGGGAACCCUGAUCCAGCCAUGCCGCGUGUGUGAAGAAGGCCCUCGGGUUGUAAAGCACUUUCAGUGAGGAAGAACGCCUGGUGGUUAAUACCCAUCAGGAAAGACAUCACUCACAGAAGAAGCACCGGCUAACUCCGUGCCAGCAGCCGCGGUAAUACGGAGGGUGCGAGCGUUAAUCGGAAUUACUGGGCGUAAAGCGCGCGUAGGUGGCUUGAUAAGCCGGUUGUGAAAGCCCCGGGCUCAACCUGGGAACGGCAUCCGGAACUGUCAAGCUAGAGUGCAGGAGAGGAAGGUAGAAUUCCCGGUGUAGCGGUGAAAUGCGUAGAGAUCGGGAGGAAUACCAGUGGCGAUGGCGGCCUUCUGGACUGACACUGACUCUGAGGUGCGAAAGCGUGGGUAGCAAACAGGAUUAGAUACCCCGGUAGUC